CGUUUGGUGGUGGUGGCUUCCUGUCCUCUCUCCUGAGCUGGCACGUGUCCAGUUGAGGGGCAGAGGAGGGCUGGGCCAGACCCAGGCGAAGGCCGGCUGCCUCUGCCUCCUGUGGCCUCUGUCCAGCCCCCGUAGGUGGGAGCCUGGAGGGAGAGGGAAUGGCUCCUGUGCUGACAGCCAGGCCAGGACAGGAAUCAGUUACAUUCAAGGAAGUGGCUGUGGAAUUCACCCAAGAGGAGUGGGGACAAUUGAAGCCAUCUCAGAAAAUGUUGUACAGGGAUGUGAUGCUGGAGAAUUAUAGGAACUUGGUGUCUUUGGGAUUUGCAGUUUCCAAACCAGAUGUGAUCUACCAGUUGGAAAGGAAGGGAGCAUCUUGGAUGCCAGAGGCAGAUAUUCCCGGAAACAGCUGUCCAGGUGACUUCAUAAAAAACAAGCCAGCUCGGGAUCUGUUGGUCAUUUUAGGUUAAAGCUCUUAUAAAAUGUUGAACAAAGUGGCCUAUCAAAGCUUCUCAGGCCUGUUGAGAGGAGCUGAGGCUUUCAGACUUCAUUUUGUAGCUCAAGAAAUUCAUUUUUUUUAUGUAUCUCUUUACUGAAGUGUACCUCCACUUUAAAAGAAAGUUGUUGCUUUAGUACAGGGCAGUUAUUUCUCUUCUGUUCCUUGAAGAUUAUCUUCUCUUAAGUGGGCAUUCUCCUGCUUCACUUGCAUGAAUUCAAUCUACCUUUCAAAAUAAGUACAUUACUUAAAGAUAUCCAGUAAUGUGCUCUUUUUGCUUCUUAGUUCUGUUCUGAUAUUUUCCUUUGUUUUAAUUUUAUGAUUGUGUUGCUUUGCUGCUAUUACUUUUAAAAAUAUUUACUCCUGA